rnacentral:rRNA from 1 species
UACAGAGGGCCCGAGCGUUGUUCGGAAUCACUGGGCGUAAAGGGUGCGUAGGCGGGUCUUUAAGUCAGGGGUGAAAUCCUGGAGCUCAACUCCAGAACUGCCUUUGAUACUGAGGAUCUUGAGUUCGGGAGAGGUGAGUGGAACUGCGAGUGUAGAGGUGAAAUUCGUAGAUAUUCGCAAGAACACCAGUGGCGAAGGCGGCUCACUGGCCCGAUACUGACGCUGAGGCACGAAAGCGUGGGGAGCAAACAGG